rnacentral:piRNA from 1 species
UGUGAAGGGAGUUCCCAGAACGGCCAUUGCUA